UGAACGCUGGCGGCGUGCUUAACACAUGCAAGUCGAACGAAGAAGGUUAGAAUGAGAGCUUCGGCAGGAUUUCUUUCCAUCUUAGUGGCGGACGGGUGAGUAACGUGUGGGCAACCUGCCCUGUACUGGGGAAUAAUCAUUGGAAACGAUGACUAAUACCGCAUGUGGUCCUCGGAAGGCAUCUUCUGAGGAAGAAAGGAUUUAUUCGGUACAGGAUGGGCCCGCAUCUGAUUAGCUAGUUGGUGAGAUAACAGCCCACCAAGGCGACGAUCAGUAGCCGACCUGAGAGGGUGAUCGGCCACAUUGGGACUGAGACACGGCCCAAACUCCUACGGGAGGCAGCAGUGGGGAAUAUUGCACAAUGGGCGAAAGCCUGAUGCAGCAACGCCGCGUGAAGGAUGAAGGGUUUCGGCUCGUAAACUUCUAUCAAUAGGGAAGAAACAAAUGACGGUACCUAAAUAAGAAGCCCCGGCUAACUACGUGCCAGCAGCCGCGGUAAUACGUAGGGGGCAAGCGUUAUCCGGAAUUACUGGGUGUAAAGGGAGCGUAGGCGGCAUGGUAAGCCAGAUGUGAAAGCCUUGGGCUUAACCCGAGGAUUGCAUUUGGAACUAUCAAGCUAGAGUACAGGAGAGGAAAGCGGAAUUCCUAGUGUAGCGGUGAAAUGCGUAGAUAUUAGGAAGAACACCAGUGGCGAAGGCGGCUUUCUGGACUGAAACUGACGCUGAGGCU
rnacentral:rRNA from 1 species